AAGGAUUCCCUCAGUAGCGGCGAGCGAACAGGGAGGAGCCCAGCGCCGAAUCCCACGGUCCGCGAGGGCCGAUCGGGAAAUGUGGCGUUAAGGAGGAUCCGCAAGUCCCGACGUCGCGAUAGCGGCGCGUCCAAGUCCUUCUUGAAAGAGGCCGAACCACCCGCAGAGGGUGCCAGGCCCGUAGGACCGCCGCCCGGCGUCGGGUCGGAUCUCUCCCUAGAGUCGGGUUGCUCGAGAUUGCAGCCCUAAGCAGGUGGUAAACUCCAUCUAAGGCUAAAUACGACCACGAGACCGAUAGCGAACAAGUACCGCGAGGGAAAGUUGAAAAGAACUUUGAAGAGAGAGUUCAAGAGUACGUGAAACCGUUCGGGGGUAAACCUGAGGAACCCGAAAGAUCGAAAGCCGAGAUACAGCGUCCGGCGCCGCGGGCGAUGCGGCGGCGGCGUGCACUUCUCGGCCGGUAGGACGUCGCGACCCGUUGGGAGUCGCCGACGCAGCGCGGGAAGCUCGAGGCGGCGCGACGGGACUCGUUCCCGUCGUCUUUGCGUUGCCCCUCGAACCCGCCGCGCCCUCAGAUAGGCGAUCGGCACGCCCGACGCGACACUCAAACACAGACCGAUGCGUUCGUUCGGCGGUGCGCUUUCGCGGCGCGCCCGACGCCGUCGCGGCCUCGGCACAUCUCGGGCGUGUGCUCGCACACACCGACGUCCGAACGUCGGCGACGCUUUUGCUUCGGGCGUUUUCAGGACCCGUCUUGAAACACGGACCAAGGAGUCCAACGUGCGCGCGAGUCAAUGGGAGCAAACUACGAAACCCAAAGGCGAAGCGAAAGCGAAGGACGACCGGGGGCGGGCGUUUUCCGCGUCCGCAUCCCGUCGACCGUAGGGAGGAUGGGUCGCCGGCACGAUCGAGCGGCCCCGCACUCCCGGGGCGUCUCCGCCAGGCACCGUCGCGUUCGGCGUUCGCUCGUCGGCGUCGUUCGGUGCCGGAGGCGCACCUCUAGCGCGCGCGCUGGGACCCGAAAGAUGGUGAACUAUGCCUGGUCAGGACGAAGUCAGGGGAAACCCUGAUGGAGGUCCGCAGCGAUUCUGACGUGCAAAUCGAUCGUCAGAACUGGGUAUAGGGGCGAAAGACCAAUCGAACCGUCUAGUAGCUGGUUCCCCCCGAAGUUUCCCUUAGGAUAGCUGGCGCUCGCUCGAGAUAAGAGUCUCAUGCGGUAAAGCGAAUGAUUAGAGCGAAUCGGGGUCGAAACGACCUCAACCUAUUCUCAAACUUUAAAUGUGUGAGAUCUCCGGCUUGCCCGACACACGAAGCCGCGAGAUGGGAUCUAGAGUGCCAAGUGGGCCAUUUUUG
rnacentral:rRNA from 1 species